rnacentral:lncRNA from 1 species
CUUAUUACUUCUCUUUUACUCGUUUUCAAAAGCUAUAAAUACCAUGUACUUCUCUUCUUUCAAGGACGAACACUUUUAGUUUUGAACACACACUUACACUCAAAAACUCUCUCUUGCUUUACUUCUACUUGUGCUACUGUCUGUAUAGCCGGCUAAAAGCCAAGGCUAGAUUUGAAGUCCUGCUUACUUUUCUUUAUUGCACUUUUCUUCUCUAACUGGUUUGUUCUAACUAAUUUUCAGCAUCAUCAACAACAUGUUUCUUUACUGUUCUUUCAUUAUUGUUUGUCUCUUGUUUGUAUUUGACUAAGUCCCAUUAUUAAAGCAUGCUGCAUUCUGCCAUUUUUAUGUUCUGAAUUAAUGUUUCUGUUACUUGCUUAUCACAGCUUGU